rnacentral:rRNA from 1 species
GAUGAACGCUGGCGGCGUGCCUAACACAUGCAAGUCGAGCGAACAGACGAGGAGCUUGCUCCUCUGACGUUAGCGGCGGACGGGUGAGUAACACGUGGAUAACCUACCUAUAAGACUGGGAUAACUUCGGGAAACCGGAGCUAAUACCGGAUAAUAUAUUGAACCGCAUGGUUCAAUAGUGAAAGACGGUUUUGCUGUCACUUAUAGAUGGAUCCGCGCCGCAUUAGCUAGUUGGUAAGGUAACGGCUUACCAAGGCAACGAUGCGUAGCCGACCUGAGAGGGUGAUCGGCCACACUGGAACUGAGACACGGUCCAGACUCCUACGGGAGGCAGCAGUAGGGAAUCUUCCGCAGUGGGCGAAAGCCUGACGGAGCAACGCCGCGUGAGUGAUGAAGGUCUUCGGAGCGUAAAGCUCUGUUAUUGGGGAAGAACAGAUGUGUAAGUAACUGUGCACGGCUUGACGGUACCUAAUCAGAAAGCCACGGCUAACUACGUG